rnacentral:rRNA from 1 species
UACGAAGGGGGCUAGCGUUGUUCGGAAUUACUGGGCGUAAAGCGUGCGCAGGCGGCUAUCCAAGUCAGUGGUGAAAGCCCGGAGCUCAACUCCGGAACUGCCAUUGAAACUGUUUAGCUUGAGGAUGAGAGAGGUGAGUGGAAUUCCCAGUGUAGAGGUGAAAUUCGUAGAUAUUGGGAAGAACACCGGUGGCGAAGGCGGCUCACUGGCUCAUUACUGACGCUCAGGCGCGAUAGCGUGGGGAUCAAACAGG